rnacentral:tRNA from 1 species
GCGUCCAUAGUUGAAUGGUUAAACGCCCAACUCAUAAUUGACAAAUUCGUAAGUUCAAUUCUUACCGGAUGCA